rnacentral:lncRNA from 1 species
GCGGCGUAUUUGCGUUGCGAUGGCAUCAUUCUUCUCGGAGCCGGAGUGAAAUUGAAGUCGCGUGUUUGCAUUAGUUUUUUGAAUUGCUGUUGGGGCUGGGGCUGCGUGAUCGUCACUGGCGUCCUCCAGAGUGCCCACCGAUCGGAAAGUCGUACGAACCGCAAGCUUUGAACGUCUGUUUAUCGCAACAUCGAAAGCGGCGGCACAGAAGACGCGAUGUGAGCUCCGGUGGGAACAGCAGCCCUUUGUCUCGUAACGGAUGUUGCUAUCUCUACAAUAGCCGGAGAAGACGAAACAAGUUUUGCAAUGCACACGGACUGGCUCAGUUGUGAAUGUCACAAAUGCUCCCCUAACGAGGAUCAAAUCAAUGAAAGGAUGGCCUUGAUAAAUAAUAUUCAUGAGGCGAAGAGGAAGUACCCAUACAUGAUGAGCUUUGAGAGGUGACUUUGCAAGACUGACUAAGAUUGACCCAUCACCUUGUAUUGCAAAAGGGAUCAACAAAAUUGUGAAAAUGGCAGAAAUGAAACACAUCCCUUGCGAAGCAAGUGUAAUGGCAUCACUUCAAAAGGCUCGUGAGAUGUCACCGGAGAGGCUGCGAACACGACGACCCGAGCGUUCCUGCAACCUCUUGCAUCGUAUUUUCUGGAGAAGACGUUGAAGAGGCUGACCUCCACAUCAAGGUGGACCGCGAGAUGUUUGCAGUGAAAAAUGGGGAGGAGGGGCUGGCGGCUGUUUUAUCUGCUUACUGGCUCUUCAAUAUCCAGUACGACCGCAAGCUGUUCAACACUCUUCUCGUGUUGGAGCGCCUUUUCCUUGGGCUCACAUUGAGUACCCCUAGAGUAGUGGCUACAAAGUUCUUGAACAAUGUUGCCAAAUGUGUGCCAUGUUUAAUGUGCUGAAGCUGUGCACUGUUACCUCAUCAUGAGUUUAGCUGUAAUUUUCAGAUGCAAGUUUUGUUUUGUCUAACCAUUUCUGCAAUACAUAUGAAGGAAGCCAACAGUCACCGAUAACAAGGCAAGCUUAUGGCAACGCUAUUCGUUUUUUUUUAUUUGCAGUGUUAGUAGUUGGAAAUUAUUAGUGUAAUUAUUUUCAGAUGUGGUUAGUUAGGAUCCCACUGGCAGCAUGUGGUUUUCUGCUUUCUGAUCAUUUACCUGUCAGCCAUAAAAUGAUUACACUAACAAUUUUCUAUUGUCAGCACCACAAAUUGUUAAAACUUAGAAGCAUUCUCCAUGUGGGGCGUUCCUUGGUCUCGGUCACUGUUGGCAUUUUUCAUAUGCAUUACAGAAAGGGUUAAACUAUUCAACACUUUCUUAUCUAAAUGUUACAGGUAAACUGUCUUUUGUAUUACAUCAUUAGCUCUUUUUAACUUUCAAUAACUAAGCAAGAUUCUAGUC